GAUGAAGAACGUAGCGAAAUGCGAUACUUGGUGUGAAUUGCAGAAUCCCGUGAACCAUCGAGUCUUUGAACGCAAGUUGCGCCCGAAGCCAUUAGGCCGAGGGCACGCCUGCCUGGGCGUCACACGUCGUUGCCCCCCCAUCUACUCCUUCGGGAUUGCGGGGGGCGGAUGAUGGCCUCCCGUGCGCCACGCCGCGCGGUUGGCAUAAAUGCCAAGUCCUCGGCGACGCACGCCACGACAAUCGGUGGUUGCGAAACCUCGGUUGCCCGUCGUGUGCGGUCGUCGCGCAUCGAGGGCUCGAAAAAAUUGCCGGGUUCCGGCUCGGCUUUCAACGCGACCCCAGGUCAGGCGGGGUUACCCGCUGAAUUUAAGCAUAUCAUAAGCGGAGGA
rnacentral:misc_RNA from 1 species